rnacentral:lncRNA from 1 species
GAGUUGGAGGAUUGAAAAAUUUGAUUCAACCUAAAUUAAUAUAAUAUAAUAUAGAUAUUAUUUAUUUAAUAAAAAAAGAAAAUUAGGUUUUCUUUUCUUCCUUACAGCUCACAAGUCACAUUCAUGCUUCAGUCUUCACCUUCUAUUCUCAUGCAACAGGCUUCACCUCUUCAACCUCCCUCGCGUGUUGCAACCAUCUCCUU